AGAGUUUGAUCAUGGCUCAGGACGAACGCUGGCGGCGUGCUUAACACAUGCAAGUCGAGCGGAAAGGCUUCCUUCGGGAAGUACUCGAGCGGCGAACGGGUGAGUAACACGUGGAUAAUCAACCUCUUGCUCUGGAAUACCCCGGGGAAACUCGGAUCAAUGCCAGAUAAAGUGCGGUGCUGUCGGGCGCCGUACCAAAGAUAGCUUCGGCCUUCGGCGAGAGACGAGUCCGCGGCCCAUUAGCUAGUUGGCGGGGUAAUGGCCCACCAAGGCUACGAUGGGUAGCUGGUCUGAGAGGAUGAUCAGCCACACUGGGACUGAGACACGGCCCAGACUCCUACGGGAGGCAGCAGUGGGGAAUCUUGCGCAAUGGGCGAAAGCCUGACGCAGCAACGCCGCGUGCGGGAGGAAGGCCUUCGGGUUGUAAACCGCUUUCAGGGGAGACGAAGCUUCCAGGGUUAAUAGCUCUGCGGAUGACGGUAUCUUCAGAAGAAGUCCGGCUAACUACUGCCAGCAGCCGCGGUA
rnacentral:rRNA from 1 species